rnacentral:tRNA from 1 species
GAUUAGCUCAGCUGGGAGAGCAUCUGCCUUACAAGCAGAGGGUCGGCGGUUCGAGCCCGUCAUCCUCCACCA